rnacentral:lncRNA from 1 species
UAGGUCAUUAUUCUUUCAUCGACAAUGGAGCAAAAGUUGCUGCAGAAGCCAUUGGCACUUAUCUUCUUCGAUUAUCAUCAGAUUUUAGAUUAGAUUUUAAAAAUUAUUAUUUUAUUUUUGUAGCUAGUCAAAAUUUGAUUUCUAUCUCUAUGCUAGCGCAUGAAGAUUUUAAAUUUAGUUUUAAUAAAGAUUUUUGCUCUAUUCAUUUAUGAAAUAAAUUAGUUGCACG